GACGAACGCUGGCGGCGUGGAUUAGGCAUGCAAGUCGAACGGUAGGAUACCUUCGGGUAUCUGAGAGUGGCGAACGGGUGAGUAACACGUAGGUGAUCUACCCUCAAGAUUGGGACAACCCAGGGAAACUUGGGCUAAUACCGGAUGAAAGCAGCAGUGAUGUUGUUUGAAAGGUGGCGUAAGCUGCCGUUUGGGGAUGAGCCUGCGCUCUAUUAGUUAGUUGGCGGGGUAAAGGCCCACCAAGGCGAUGAUAGAUAGGCGGCCUUAACGGGUGGUCGCCCACACUGGGAUUGAGAUACGGCCCAGACUCCUACGGGAGGCAGCAGUCGAGAAUAGUCUACAAUGGCCGAAAGGCUGAUAGUGCGACGCCGCGUGAACGAAGAAGCCUUUCGGGUGUAAAGUUCUUUUAUAUGUGAGCAGUGCUUUCUAUGUGAACAGCAUGGGGAGAGAGAUAUUAGCAUAUGAAUAAGCAACGGCUAACUCCGUGCCAGCAGCCG
rnacentral:rRNA from 1 species